AGUUGUAAUUUGCAGAGGGCGCUUUUGGCAUUGGCAGCCGGUCCAAGUUCCUUGGAACAGGACGUCACAGAGGGUGAGAAUCCCGUACGUGGUCGCUAGCCUUUACCGUGUAAAGCCCCUUCGACGAGUCGAGUUGUUUGGGAAUGCAGCUCUAAAUGGGAGGUAAAUUUCUUCUAAAGCUAAAUACUGGCCAGAGACCGAUAGCGCACAAGUAGAGUGAUCGAAAGAUGAAAAGCACUUUGGAAAGAGAGUUAAAAAGCACGUGAAAUUGUUGAAAGGGAAGCGCUUGCAGCCAGACUUGCCUGUAGUUGCUCAUCCGGGUUUUUACCCGGUGCACUCUUCUACGGGCAGGCCAGCAUCAGUUUGGGCGGUUGGAUAAAGGUCUCUGUCAUGUACCUCCUCUCGGGGAGAUCUUAUAGGGGAGACGACAUGCAACCAGCCUGGACUGAGGUCCGCGCAUCUGCUAGGAUGCUGGCGUAAUGGCUGUAAGCGGCCCGUCUUGAAACACGGACCAAGGAGUCUAACAUCUAUGCGAGUGUUUGGGUGUCAAGCCCCGAACGCGUAAUGAAAGUGAACGGAGGUGGGAACCUUUCGGGGUGCACCAUCGACCGAUCCUGAUGUCUUCGGAUGGAUUUGAGUAAGAGCAUAGCUGUUGGGACCCGAAAGAUGGUGAACUAUGCCUUGAAUAGGGUGAAGCCAGAGGAAACUCUGGUGGAGGCUCGCAGCGGGUUCUGA
rnacentral:rRNA from 1 species